UUAAUAACUGGGAAAGACUUCGAAGGAAGUGGUCAUAGCCAAUUUUUUGAUUCUGCUCUAGUGCUUUGUUGGAGUGAACGAAGAAAAUAAAGAAGGAAUUCCACUGAGAUUUGGCUAACACUUACAAGGCGAAAUAAUAUUAUUUUUCGAGCAGCCAGCCGUGUCGAUAUUGUGUCAGAUUUCAACGUUUCUACGAAUACGUGUGUCUCUCCAUCUUCAAGGUAGGUUAACGAAUGUAGCAGUUGGUAGCAGCGCCAGUCAUCCGGGUGGCAAUAUGGCUGACGGUGUUUGCGUGUAGUAUGAAGUGCUUUCAAGAACAUGUGAUUCUGAAGUAAGUGGGGACUGUGGUGUACACCCCUGGUACAAAUGAACCAGGCCACAUGCAGACGCAGAACUAGCGCCAACGAGCUCUCUUUGUCACACGUACAACAAAGUGAGGCAACGAGAUUGUCAUCAGGAAAUUUUGUGUGUGUUCGCGUUUACGUAACAUUGACACUGCACCCACUCGUCGUAUCUGAAUGCGUCUAGAAGAUCACCGUAGGUCAACAUUUUCGCUACAGAAAGGAAUGUUUUCCCAAUUUGUAUUAUUUUAUGUAGCCACACAGCCUUCUUCUUGUUAAUGUUUCUGUAUAUAAAUUAUCUGAGAUAUAUUUAUAUGACAUUUUAAAUUCUCCCAUAUUUUUGCACCAAAUAACAUAUUUCUCAAAGCAAAGUAACGUAAAGUAAAAUAAGAGCAAAUGAAUAUAAUUCUGUACAUGAAAAUUGCACUGGUACGAAACUUUGUAUUGCACGAUAUUGUUUUUUGUUGUUGUUGUUGUUGCUAUGUGUGCUUCUGGCGUUGAAUGGCAAUGAAGAGUGGGAAGAAACCAGACCGAAAUUACAAAGGAAAAUAACAGAAACGUAAUAAAUCCUGAAGUUUCCAAUGUUAAAUUAUAUUCUGUGAUAAGAGAGAAGAGGUAAAGUUCUCUUUGCGGUAUAUUAAACACCACGCCUUAAUGACCUACUUAUUUUUGUGCUCAGAUAACACACCAGGUUAUGAAGACGCAAACCCUUAGAGCUCAGUGGUAACUACAUAUACCACAUGCUGUUACAGUCAGUAAGUCUGUAUUUUGUAUGUGAAUUUCAUAUUAUCCUUACAAUAAACUUAGAUUAUUACCUUAAGCAGCAGCUGAUCCUAGUAAUGGUGAAGCGUUGUGUUUACUUUGCGGUACGGGCUGGAUUAUUAAGGAUUAUAAAGCCGAAGUUCGGCUUCACACGGUUCAUCUACUGCAAUGCUAUAAAAAGUAUGGGGGAAGUGGAUUGUAUUUUUAACCACGGCCCAAGAUGACUGUUAGUGGCCAGCAUCACGCUUCGGCAACUUUACCGUCUUACGGGAAAGCCCUGGUGUAGACCACAGCAUAGGCUAAGGU